GCACUAUAAAAACUGGACGUAAUUCCUUCCAUGUCUCAUUCUCGUGGCCUUUGCAAGAGUAAGGAGCCUCAAUUGGAGCUGAGGAAAAGGAUCUUUUUCAUGCAAGGCCUUAAAGUAAAGCCAUGGCUUAUCUCAUGGCCUCUACCACGCUGUACCCUCGUGCUGUCCAGAGCGCAGCGUCAUGAACAUCGUUUCAUUGGCGACCCUGGAGCCUCUUCAAAUAUGAUUACGUUUGUGACCAAGUGAUUGAACCUGCUCAGAAGUAUGUCUGCAAACAGCAAACGCCUCCUCCAGGUGUGAGGACAUGGCUACUUUGAGGAUGAAUUGAGAAAGUCCUUACCAACUUUGCAAAUGCAUGUUGGUGGAGAAUCUUGAAAAGGUAUGAGCUUGAGUGACCAGCAGAGGGUGCUGCCUACUUCCUGCAGCAAUAGAUUCGCACUGAGAAUCUGGAGGUCGGUGGAAGUCGACGUGUUGCUGGUUUGUAUGUCCUUCCUGGGAUCUGGGCUUCUUGAUGUUUACGGAAAGAUCAACUUUUUUUUUUUUUUUUUUUUUUUUUUUUUUUUUUUUUAACUCAAGUGGAACUUUGAUUCCUAACCUGGAUGGACCAGAUGCAACCAGAAACCCAGUCAGAGCCAGUUGUGCCAUUUCCACCCUGAAAUUCUCUUACCUAGUUCUUUAGUCAUGUGAUGUUGCUACAUCUACCCAAUGUACCCUUUCGGAAUGUUUAGGGCUGUCUGCCAAACUUGAUUGUUUAUAAUUUGUGCAUGUUGAGUUUUUUGAGGCAACAUGGGAUCCAGUGGCUGACCAAGUCUUUAACAUGGAUGCCAUGCAAGUAUACCUGGAUGAUUAGUUAAUAAAUAAAGCAACAUUUGAAUGGAAAGUAUAUUUGAGUAGCACUGGUGUGUGUUAAAAAAUAUAUAUAUUAUUCAUCAGUCUUGUAUUGUAAUGUUGGUGAGACCCAGAGACUGUCUGUGUUUAUCAUUUGAAAUUAAACUCUGCUCACUCAGCUGUC